UCGCGAAAACUUCGCAAUGGGGGCAACCCCGACGAGGGAAUUCCAAGUGCCAGCACUUUGUGUUGGCUGUUCUCCUGUCUAAAAAACAGGAGGAGUAAGGGGCGGGUAAGACGGGUGCCAGCCGCCGCGGUAAUACCCGCGCCCCUAGUGGUGGUCGAUAUUAUUGAGCCUAAAACGUCCGUAGCCGGUCUUCUAAAUCCUUGGGUAAAUCGGACAGCUUAACUGUCCGAAUUCCGGGGAGACUGGGAGACUUGGGACCGGGAGAGGUCAGAGGUACUUCUGGGGUAGGGGUAAAAUCCUGUAAUCCUGGAAGGACCACCGGUGGCGAAGGCGUCUGACUAGAACGGAUCCGACGGUGAGGGACGAAGCCCUGGGGCGCAAACGGG
rnacentral:rRNA from 1 species